ACUCAAUAACCAUGUACUUGUUUUGCUACAGGAUGGGCAAGAAGGGUCAUUUGAAAAAUGGAGAGUGGAAAACUCCUGGGGCGAAGACCGUGGUAAUAAAGGUUACCUCAUCAUGACAGAUGACUGGUUUUCUGAGUACGUGUAUGAGGUGGUGGUGGAUAAGAAGCAUGUGCCAGAAGAUAUCUUGGCCGUGAUGCAGCAGGAGCCCAUCGUUCUGCCGGCCUGGGACCCUAUGGGGGCAUUAGCCAAGUGAACUGCAGUGUUGGCCUCCUAAUGAUCAACCAGAAGUAGAUGCAAUAGAGGAUCCCAGUGGUUGGAAGCCAUAGCCAAAUGUUCAUGUGACCACGUGCUCGGCAUGGUCCAUAUUCUUGAAAUAUAAGUUAAGGAUCUUUGGAAAAUAGCGCUUUACUGACUGGCUCAAUAAAGGCUCUCAGGCAGGCUACUCUGCAAAACUAAAAAGGGACAAAGGAAAAACUCAUCAUGAAAAAGCAUUAUAAGUGCUUUCAAUGGCCGUUUGAUUUUUAUCUUACUCUUUUAAUGAAAAAAAAGCAUAGUAACUUAGAAUCCUUUUGACUAGUAUUUUCCCUAGAAAAGAUGGCCAUAACAGGCCAUUCUUUAAAGUUAACAGCUAGCUGGUUGUUAAUGAA